rnacentral:lncRNA from 1 species
AUUUAGAUUUUUUUGGUCACGAAUUGCACCAUGUGCACGACCCUGAUUUACCAUUUCAGAUAGUGUCUGGGACGCACGAACAAAACGCCGCUAUUCGGAUAUAACGAUGGAUUAUUUUGGACCAAACCAACAUUUGUUAUUGAAGUAGCAGUCCUGGGAGUGCAUUCUGACGAAGACAACAAAAGCUCUCAGACCUUCAUGAGGACAGGCAGGGGCUGGACAGACUGGACAAGAUGAUGCUGAGGCUGCAAAAGGGCUGAGGGACAAUCACACCCUCACAGGACACACCCUCACAGCCUAGGUGAGCCUAGGUGAACUUCAAUGUGCUGGAGGACUACUCUAGAAAUUGUUGGCUUUGUUACAGGAAAGAUAGAAAGAAGCCUGCUUUUAAAUGGUUUCCGUUCUGACUCUUUGUGUAUUAGGCCUAGUGGAAUGUAGUACAGAAUCAUUUGAAGUUGUAAAAACAAAUUAUUCUUAUACUAUGCCUUAUUCUUAUCAUAUUUUUUAAUUCCAGUAAAAUGUUGUUGUCAAUAUCCCUGUGGUAAAUGUUCUAUAUAAUGUUUUGGUUAUGAUAGCGAUGUAACUUGCACUUUGUCUACCGACCCGUAGUACUCACGUCUGUAGCCAUGAAGUGCAUUGAAAGGCUGGUCAUAGCUCACAUCAACACCAUUAUCCCAGAAACCAUAGACCCACUCCAAUUUGCAUACCCCCCUAACAGAUCCACAGAUGAUGCAAUCUCUAUUGCACUCCACACUGCCCUUUCCCACCUGGACAAAGGGAACAACUAUGUGAGAAUGCUAUACAUUGACUACAGCUCAGUGUUCAACACCAUAGUGCCCUCAAAGCUCAUCACUAAGCUAAGGACCCUGGGACUAAACACCUCCCUCUGCAACUGAAUCCUGGACUUCCUGACGGGCCGCCCCCAGGUGGUAAGGGUAGGUAACAACACAUCCGCCACACAGGGGCCCCUCUGGGGUGUGUGCUCAGUCCACUCCUGUACUCCCUGUUCACUCAUGACUACACGGCCAUGCAUGACUCCAACACCAUCAUUAAGUUUGCUAAUGACACAACAGUGGUAGGCCUGAUCACUGACAACGACGAGACAGCCUAUAAGGAGGAGGCCAGAGACCUGGCCGUGUGGUGCCAGGACAACAACCUCUCCCUCAAUGUGAUAAAGACAAAGGAGAUGAUUGUGGACUACAGGGAAAGGAGGACCGAGCACCCCCCCCAUUCUCAUCAACGUGGCUGUUGUGGAGCAGGUUGAGAGCUUCAAGUUCCUUCAUGUCCACAUCACCAACGUACUAACAUGGACCAAGCAUACCAAGACAGUUGUGAAGAGGGCACGACAAAACCUAUUCCUCCUCAGGAGACUGAAAAGAUUUGGCAUGGGUCCUCAGAACCUCAAAAGGUUCUACAGCUGCACCAUCGAAAGCAUCCUGACUGGUUGCAUCACUGCCUGGUAUGGCAACUGCUCGGCCUCCGACCUCAAGGCACUACAGAGGGCAGUGCGUACGGCCCAGUACAUCACAGGGCCAAGCUUCCUGCCAUCCAGGACCUCUAUACCAGGCGGUGUCAGAAGAAGGCCCUAAAAAAGGUAAACGACUCCAGAUACCCUAGUCAUUGACUGUUCUCUCUGCUACCGCACGGAAAGCGGUACCGGAGUGCCAAGUCUAGGUCCAAGAGACUUCUAAACAGCUUCUACCCUCCCAAGCCAUAAGACUCCUGAACAUCUAAUCAAAUGGCUACCCAGACUAUUUGCAUUGCCCUCCCUCCUUUUACGCCGCUGCUACUCUCUGUUAUUAUCUAUGCAUAGUCACUUUAAUAACUCUUCCUACACGUACAUAUUACCUCAAUUACCUUGACUAACUGGUGCCCCCUGUAUAUAGUCUCGCUACUGUUAUUUUACUUGUUACUUUUAUUUCUUAUUCUUAUUUGUAUUUUUUAAACUGUAUUGUUGGUUAGGAGCUUGUAAGUAAGCAUUUCACUGUAAGGUCU